AGAGUUUGAUCAUGGCUCAGAACGAACGCUGGCGGCAGGCCUAACACAUGCAAGUCGAACGCUCCAGCAAUGGAGAGUGGCAGACGGGUGAGUAACACGUGGGAACCUUCCCUUUGGUUCGGAAUAGCUCAGGGAAACUUGAGGUAAUACCGGAUAAGCCCUUACGGGGAAAGAUUUAUCGCCGAAGGAUGGGCCCGCGUCGGAUUAGCUAGUUGGUGGGGUAACGGCCUACCAAGGCGACGAUCCGUAGCUGGUCUGAGAGGAUGAUCAGCCACACUGGGACUGAGACACGGCCCAGACUCCUACGGGAGGCAGCAGUGGGGAAUAUUGGACAAUGGGCGCAAGCCUGAUCCAGCCAUGCCGCGUGAGUGACGAAGGCCUUAGGGUUGUAAAGCUCUUUUGGCGGGGAAGAUAAUGACGGUACCCGCAGAAUAAGCUCCGGCUAACUUCGUGCCAGCAGCCGCGGUA
rnacentral:rRNA from 1 species